rnacentral:rRNA from 1 species
AACAGCUAGCCUAACUAUUAAUUUAAACCAGCAAUAUUUAUAAUAAAACAUAAAUUAACACCAAAAAUUAAACCAUUUUUUUACCUUAGUAUGGGAGACAGAAAAGGUUCAACUUAGAGCAAUAGAAAAAGUACCGCAAGGGAAAGCUGAAAGAGAAAUGAAACAAUCCAUAUAAGCACUAAAAAACAAAGAUUAAAUCUUGUACCUUUUGCAUCAUGAUUUAGCCAGUACCCCCAAGCAAAGAGACCUUUAGUUUGAAGCCCCGAAACCAGGUGAGCUACCCCGAGACAGCCUAUAUAACUUAGGGCUAACCCGUCUCUGUGGCAAAAGAGUGGGAAGAGCUCCGGGUAGAAGUGACAGACCUACCGAACCUGGUGAUAGCUGGUUGCCUGAGAAAUGGAUAGAAGUUCAGCCCUAUAUAUCCCCAAACCAAAACAUUUACCUAUAAGGCUAUCUGAAGGGAAAUAUAUAAGAGUUAGUUAAAGGGGGUACAGCCCCUUUAACAAAGGAUACAACCUUAACAGAAGGAUAAAGAUCAUAAUAUUUAAAACAACCUGUUUCUAGUGGGCCUAAAAGCAGCCAUCUAAUUAGAAAGCGUUAAAGCUUAAACAGACCGAAGUUUAUUAUACUGAUAAAAAAUCUUAUUCCCCUAAUAAUAUCAGGCUAUUCCAUGCCCCCAUGGAAGAAAUUAUGCUAAAAUGAGUAACAAGAAGAUACGAUCUUCUCCGCAACACAAGUGUAAACCAGAUCGGACAAACCACUGGAAAUUAACGAACCCAACCAAAGAGGGCAAUGUGAUAAAUAAAAAAACCAAGAAAACCUCACAACUAACUAUCGUUUACCCCACACUGGAGUGUUAUAAUUAAAGGAAAGACUAAAAGAAGGGGAAGGAACUCGGCAAACACAAGCCUCGCCUGUUUACCAAAAACAUCGCCUCCUGCAACUAGAUUAAGUAUAGGAGGUCCAGCCUGCCCAGUGACUAUGAGUUCAACGGCCGCGGUAUUUUGACCGUGCAAAGGUAGCGCAAUCACUUGUCUUUUAAAUAGAGACCUGUAUGAAUGGCUAAACGAGGGCUUAACUGUCUCCCCCCUCCAGUCAGUGAAAUUGAUCUAUCCGUGCAGAAGC